CCCUAGGGGAGCAAACAUGGUGCAUAUCUCUCUUUCAUUGAUAAAGAGGGCUGACCUUAUGAGUGUCCUCUGUGUAAAACUCAGGUACUGGCAGAAUAGUGUAAAGUUUGUGUUGCAAAACUAAAGGGAAUGUUUGUGUCAAAUACCUACUUCUAUUAGGAUUAAAAAAUAGUGGAAACAUGGGAAUCCGAUUUAUGCCUAGGUACUGUGAUAAUACAACUAAUAAAUAGUCAUAUCUGUUGGGUUUAGGUUGUGUAACUCCGAGGUCCUAUGCUGAGUGGCUGUGUAUAACUGCAGAGUACUCAUGCCAAUGGGAGUUGCACCUUAGCUCCGUAACUGGAUAGGUCUGUGGCUUCUAACAGCAGCGAUGGACAGCAAGAAGACUGGGCUUCAGAACCCAGUGCCUGUCCAGCGAAGUGAAGGACUCCACUCAGUUGUCUCAAGUCUAAUCCCUGCUGCUCAUCACUGCAGACCUCCUCCCCCUGCCCAUGGAUUGCUAUUGCUGGCAAAGACAUUGGUUAGCUCCAGCUCCGCUGAGCAAACUGAAGCUGCCCCACGUGGCUGGAAUGUCUCGAUAAUGGACAGAGCCAGCAGAAAUGUGGCUUUCAUGAAACACGUCAUCGGAGUCAUCCGCUGUUUCUGUGGAAUUGCUGCACCACUGCAGAGCCAUGACUGAGGGCAGCGUGUUCCACAAACACCGCACAGCAGUGUACAGAGCACCCGUUUUUGCACUGCUGACACACCCGGCAUGCUGAGAAC